rnacentral:rRNA from 1 species
UACGUAGGGGGCAAGCGUUAUCCGGAUUUACUGGGUGUAAAGGGAGCGCAGGCGGCAUGGCAAGUCAGAUGUGAAAACCCGGGGCCCAACCCCGGGCCUGCAUUUGAAACUGUCAGGCUAGAGUACAGGAGAGGCAGGCGGAAUUCCUAGUGUAGCGGUGAAAUGCGUAGAUAUUAGGAGGAACACCGGUGGCGAAGGCGGCCUGCUGGACUGGUACUGACGCUGAGGCUCGAAAGCGUGGGGAGCAAAC